UUUGACCUCAAAUCAGGUAGGACUACCCGCUGAACUUAAGCAUAUCAAUAAGCGGAGGAAAAGAAACUAACAAGGAUUCCCCUAGUAACUGCGAGUGAAGCGGGAAAAGCUCAAAUUUGAAAUCUGGCAGUCUUUUUUUUCUUCUUUGGCUGUCCGAGUUGUAAUCUAGAGAAGUGCUUACCUGCACUGGAC
rnacentral:rRNA from 2 species